GUAAAUCCGUACUUGACGUUAUUCUAGGACAGCAUAAGGAACACUCCUGACACAUAUCUGCUCAUCACACUGUAUUUAUGGAAGCAGAACAGAGGCUUUAGACAGAAGAUACAGACUUGGCUAUGCAAACGUGGAAAUGCCACCUUCAUGCCUGUCCCUUCACCUCACAUCCCACCCUCUUGAAAUCAGUUUUUGUUGUGUGGAGUCGGGCUGUUUCCACUCUCAGGCAUCCUCUGAGUAGCUGUGGUUACAGGCUGCUCAUGGCUUCUAUAAACCAUUCUUUGGUACCAUGGAAAUCAUUCUAUAAAGUCUCUUCAUACAUAGCGCCUAUUCAUGCCAGAUGCACACAUCACUGUAAUCUUUUUUUAAAGAUCUUAACUGACAUUAUAGUUUUAUCCUAUAAUCAGGUCACCAUUCGUCCCAUAAAACAGAAUUCCCAUUACCCACAACCUCAUGACCCCUGUGCAUGGCGAACACUAAGCCCAGCCCCUUCUCGACAGAGGUGAGCUUCAGAAACUCUCGGAAGACACAGCAGCAGGAUCAGGUUCUGUACCAGGUCUGCCCGGGAGUCUGACCUGUCGCACUGUCACAUAACAUGGUUCCGACAGCAACCAUAUUCAGACAUGGCACACA
rnacentral:lncRNA from 1 species